GACGAACGCUGGCGGCGUGCUUAACACAUGCAAGUCGAACGGAGUGGCGAACGGGUGAGUAACAAGUGGGUGAUCUGCCUCGCACUUCGGGAUAAACUUGGGAAACUGGGUCUAAUACCGGCUAGUGCAAGGUGAGCUCGCGGCCUAUCUGCUUGUUGGUGGGGUAAUGGCCUACCACGGCGUCGACGGGUAGCCGGCCUGAGAGGGGGUACGGCCACAUUGGGACUGAGAUACGGACCAGACUCCUACGUGAGGCAGCAGUGGGGAAUAUUGCACAAUGGGCGGAAGCCUGAUGUAGCGACGCCGCGUGGGGGAUGAAGGCCUUCGGGUUGUAAACUCCUUUCGACAGGGACGCGGUACCUGUAGAAGAAGCACCGGCUAACUACGUGCCAGCAGCCGCGGUAAUUC
rnacentral:rRNA from 1 species